CACGUGGGGAACCUGCCCCAUAGUCUGGGAUACCACUUGGAAACAGGUGCUAAUACCGGAUAAGAAAGCGGAUCGCAUGAUCAGCUUUUAAAAGGCGGCGUAAGCUGUCGCUAUGGGAUGGCCCCGCGGUGCAUUAGCUAGUUGGUAAGGUAAAGGCUUACCAAGGCGAUGAUGCAUAGCCGAGUUGAGAGACUGAUCGGCCACAUUGGGACUGAGACACGGCCCAAACUCCUACGGGAGGCAGCAGGC
rnacentral:rRNA from 1 species